rnacentral:lncRNA from 1 species
UUAUAAAUUCACUUUUCUAAACAGAUUAAGUCUCAAAGCUUUCAAUUUUUAAAAUAUUAAAGAAAUACGUGGAAUAAGUACAAAAAUACAUCAACACAACCCGAAUCUGGUGUCACUAGUAAUGAGCCACUAAAUACACUCUACACUGUCUACUCAUUACAAACAAUUCUGAAAUGUAAAAUACUAGAAUACGAAGGAGAAAGGCAGGGCUGUGAACGCUGUGCAACUACCUUGCGAUCUCCGGAUAAGACUUUGAGAAUGCUUGAAGCUUUCACUCUGAUGCUCGGGCACCUGGAUCUGCACACAAGGUGCAGAGAGUAAUGUGAGUACGCCAACUCAGUAAGUAACUAAAGUCUGAGUGCAAUGACAAGCAUUUAAAAUCAUAUGCAUACUUAUUAAAAAAAAUUCAACAGAAAUAUCAAGUUAAAAUCAGCAAUUCAAUAGCCAAUUUAUCUCGUAAAAAAAACUCCAGUUUCAAUUAAAAUCCUUUAAAAACAUUUAUUCAACCUUUUUCAAUAGAGGCUCAGUAUAAAAGAGGAAUGAAAGAAGAAAAACGUUGUCACACCUCCUUUUUACCUAUACUCCCGUAAAGGGUAUAAGGGAGUUUUUUUCCAACUUAAAGUGACAAUCGAAAUGGGAUUAUUUUAUUUAAAGAUUUAGAGUCGCCACUUGGGAUAAUUUAGGGUGUCCCAUGUCACCAGUUUUAAAUCCCGCAUCGAGGAAAGGUUGACUCUGUAUUACAGUCCGCUAACACAAAAAUCCAGGUAAGGAAUUUUGUUAACUCGGGAGAAGGUGUUAGGCAUUCCCGAGUUCCGUAGUUCUAGCACGGUCGCUCAACUGUUACAAUUGGCCUACUAUCUGAUUUUAGUACAUGUUUUAGCCUAUGGUUCGAUUUUAACUUUAUAGCCGCUUUUAUUCAUUUUUAGGAAGAUUGCAACGUCAUUUAAAAUAUUUCUUGAACCACGUCACAUAAAUGCACCUGUAGUCCGCAACACAUUUUAUAUAGCGUUGUUGAGAUUUGGAUUUGGGUCACAUAAAUGUGCACCCGAGUUUAGGAAGGUAAAUUAUUAAAACAAAGCGCCUAAAGCAACUACACAUUUGCAACUUUGCGAGGGCCAUGAAAAUUCGCUAAAUGGCAUGCCUCGAAUUCUAAUAAUUGAAAUUAAUUAAGCUAGGGACACUGGUUAUCUAAUUUUAUUUGGUGGCACGCCUCAAACCAACUACAAGUAUACCUUAAUAAAAUAAGGCUAAACGAAUCACAUUUACUUUUAAACCACGGUUGAACUCAAAUGUGAGUCUAAAAUUAAGACUAAGUGAAGUUUAUUCUAUUUCAAUUUCAGAAUUUGCGCUUGGCCUAACGUGAGGCCCAAUGGCUCAAUAAAAUCAUCAGGAUGCAGAGUUCUGGGCUCUCCAACAAAUUCCAUCUGGGCCCAAACGGAGAGAAAAGUUUUCACGAGGCAUGUACGAGUUGGGUAUCAAAAGGGGUCAUGUUUCGAACCCAUAUAAUAGCAGAAAACAAUCAGAAGUCCACAAUGAAAUUAAACUAACAAUUAUUAUACAUUGAAAUACUGAUUGGAACCAAGCUGGCAAUUAUUCCAAGCCAUUUUUAAGUUUAAACAUUUCACAUGAUAAUCAUUGAAAUACUGUAAAUAGAUAAUCACUGAAACACUAACUAAACAAUCAUUGCUCAUUUUAAAUAUUCGCACUUAAACUGAUUGACUGAUCAUCCCAAAGUCCACGUGACUUCAUUGUUAUUUCACCCAAAACCUCGGCUCAUUUGAAGAACCAACUAAAUGCAGUAAACAAGUCACUACAUGAAUUCAGGAUCCUUUACCAACAGUUCCAAAAACUUCAUGCAAGCAACCUAUUGAGAGAAUACAUGACUAGCAUAAGAUGACUCAAACCCCCCUAGCAUGCUCAACACUAACUAAGCCAACUAAUAUACUCAAAGAAAUAUAAAUGGCAUAUGUAAUUGCAAACCAAAUCACUUAUUCGUCCAUCUGAACCUUUUUUUUAAAAAAACUAACGCACCUAAUUAGUUUCACAUAAGAGUAGAAUCUCAAACCAUCUAACACCAACACCAUAAUGUACAGUUUUUGUCCAGAUUUACCAACUAAACUCAAACAAAAUCAUAGCCAAAUAUAUGAACAUAUCUGAAGAAGCUAAACUAACACAAACUACAACAUGAACUAAUCAUUCAUUAAACAUCAAAAUCCUGAAUUCCAUAUCAGUUACAAAGGCUUCUCAUGUUGCCCUUCACAGAUUAAAGAGAUCCACGGAAUACCUGGUGAAUUUAGAACAAAGAAAUGGUGAGGAAUCAACAACAGAAGAGGAAGAAGUUCAGUAGAUCAACUACAGCAGUUUCAGUUUGUUCAAACCAUUUUAAUCCCAGAAAAGAGUCGAAAUUACUUCAAUCUUUCAAAGAAAAUCCACAGAAAGCACAUUCAGCUUCAAUGAAACAGUGAUUUGGUGCUUUUUUGUAUUUUUCUUCUCUAAUUUUCAGACUUUAUCAAUGUUUUUUUUUUGCUUUAGCCAUUUCUGAUCUCUCCCAAAAAAAAAUCCCCAAAGAAUUCAG